CACGUAGGGGACGAGCGUUGUCCGGAUUCAUUGGGCGUAAAGCGCGCGUAGGCGGCUCGGAAAGUCGGUCGUGAAAUGCCGGGGCUCAACCCCGGGACUGCGUCCGAUACUCUCGAGCUGGAGGCAGGUAGGGGAGAUCGGAAUUCCUGGUGUAGCGGUGAAAUGCGCAGAUAUCAGGAGGAACACCGGUGGCGAAGGCGGCUUCCUGGACCGACACUGACGCUGAGGCGCGAAAGCUAGGGGAGCAAACGGG
rnacentral:rRNA from 1 species